AUACGUAGGGGGCGAGCGUUGUCCGGAAUGAUUGGGCGUAAAGGGCGCGUAGGCGGCUUUGCAAGUCAGUAGUGGAAGUCCAUUUUUCAAGGAUGGAAGUGCUACAGAAACUGCGGAGCUUGAGUGCAGGAGAGGUUAUCGGAAUUCCCGGUGUAGCGGUGAAAUGCGUAGAGAUCGGGAGGAACACCAGUGGCGAAGGCGGGUAACUGGACUGCAACUGACGCUGAGGCGCGAAAGUGUGGGGAGCAAACAGGAUUAGAUACCCUGGUAGUCCACACUGUAAACGAUGAAUGCUAGGUGUAGGAGGUAUCGACCUCUUCUGUGCCGCAGUAAACACAGUAAGCAUUCCGCCUGGGGAGUACGGUCGCAAGAUUAAAACUCAAAUGAAUUGACGGGG
rnacentral:rRNA from 1 species